GACGAACGCUGGCGGCGCGCCUAACACAUGCAAGUCGAACGGAGCUGCGAGAAGCUUGCUUUUCUUAGCUUAGUGGCGAACGGGUGAGUAACGCGUGAGUAACCUGCCCUGGAGUGGGGGACAACAGUUGGAAACGACUGUUAAUACCGCAUAAGCCCACGAUCCGGCAUCGGAUUGAGGGAAAAGGAUUUAUUCGCUUCAGGAUGGACUCGCGUCCAAUUAGCUAGUUGGUGAGGUAACGGCCCACCAAGGCGACGAUUGGUAGCCGGACUGAGAGGUUGAACGGCCACAUUGGGACUGAGACACGGCCCAGACUCCUACGGGAGGCAGCAGUGGGGGAUAUUGCACAAUGGGGGAAACCCUGAUGCAGCGACGCCGCGUGGAGGAAGAAGGUUUUCGGAUUGUAAACUCCUGUCGUUAGGGACGAUAAUGACGGUACCUAACAAGAAAGCACCGGCUAACUACGUG
rnacentral:rRNA from 1 species